AUUGAACGCUGGCGGCAGGCCUAACACAUGCAAGUCGAACGAGUGGCGGACGGGUGAGUAAUGUCUGGGAACCUGCCUGAUGGAGGGGGAUAACUACUGGAAACGGUAGCUAAUACCGCAUACCAUCGGAUGUGCCCAGAUGGGAUUAGCUAGUAGGGGGGGUAAAGGCUCACUUAUGCAACGAUCCCUAGCUGGUCUGAGAGGAUGACAAGUCUCACUGGAACGGAGACACGGUGCUGACUGCUACGGGAGGAAGUAGGGGGGAAUAUUGCACGAUGGGCGCAAGCCUGAUGCAGCCUUUCCGGUUGUAUGAAGGAGGCCUUCGGGUUGUAAAGUACUUUCAGCGGGGAGGCGUUACCCGCAGAAGAAGCACCGGCUAACUCCGUGCCGGCCGCCGCGGUGAUUC
rnacentral:rRNA from 1 species